rnacentral:lncRNA from 1 species
AGAUCAAAGACAAACAGGGAAACCUACUUGUCUGGUGCCCAUCCCCUUGGCAGAACACUCCUCUGAAGGAUGACAGUUUGGCUGUGCCAGGGCAGAGCUGCCCACACCAAAUAAGCCUUCAUAGCAACUAUCUGAUGAGGAACUCACUGGCCUACCUUUCCUUGACAGCUGGGGCCUGCCAGCCUUGAAGCAUGACUCCACAACGCCCCUACCCAAGGCCAUGGAGGUUGCUGC